CACCUUUUCCCCCCAUUUCAGGGCCAUUUACUUUCAGGCAUUGGAGAGGGAAGGGAGGAAAAUUAAGACAGCGCAAAAAAUAUGCAUUAUUGCACUCACCACUAGGAAGAAAUUGGUUAAAUUUUGCCCCCUAGCGGCCCAAAUCUGGCUGUGGCCCCUUCUGCACAGUGGAGCUGAACAAGGCAAAACAGGGACAAGGUUGAGAGCAGAUUCCAGGUUGUGCUGGGAGCUGAGCGCAGGAACACCCAAGGGCGGUUUGAUGGCAGGCAGCUUCACCCUGUGCCACUGCCAACCACCAGCACUGCUUUCUCCUCACGGGAGGGCAGCAUGGCCACAGCAGAGGCACAAAACCGGCAUGCUGAGAACAGCCACAACUUCCUCUCUCAGUGUUGAAGAGGCAAAAACCCCUCGGGGUUGCAUGGGUGCUGGAGGCAAUGGGUGAAUCGCCACAGACUGUGGUCAUGAAGAUUUUUGGGGGACCUGUAGACACCUGCGAGGAGAAAAUCCAGUCUCACCUGCUAUCCCUAAGGAAGGUGUUGGCAGAGUUUCCAGACUGGAGAGUGAAGGCAGUUUCUAGACUGGAGAGUGAGCAAAGAGAAGCAGCAUCAGGACUACCUGAUACAGGGGGCCCCUUGGCGUUUUGACAGUCCAAAUGGGUAUUUAUUUUUCCCCAAAACCCUCUGGAAGAAACACGCAGGAUCAUCCAUGAGGUAUCCUUGUGCCCUGCAAAGCCU